ensembl:lincRNA
UAUGGAACUAAACCUUCAAGUUGAUGAACUGGAUUCAAACCUCUUAUCUAUUGAGGAAAUUGUGUCUGAAAUACGAAAUGAAAAUACUGCUUUUGCUACAACUUGGGGCGAAAUUGUUGGCUUGGUUGAAGACCUUAUGAGCGACCAAGACCCACAGAACGAGUUCGUCCUUGAUGACCCAACCAAAGAGUUAUACCUUGGAGACCAGCAAAAUCCUGAAAAAGAGUUUUACAGCAAUAGUACUCAUUGUGAGUUAUCAAGACAAUACCCACUGAACAAGUUAUACCUUGAUGAGCCAGAAUACAAGUUUUACCUUGGAGACUCACAAAUUUUGAAAAAAUCAGGAAAUGAGUUCUGCCUUGAUGGUUUAAAUAACUACCUUGGAGACUCAGGAAAAGGGUUCUGCCAAGAUGGUUCUAAAUAUGGGGCCUACCUUGGAGACUCACAAAUUUUGAAAAAAUCAGUAAAUGAGUUCUGCCUUGAUGGUUUAAAUAACUACCUUGGAGACUCAGGAAAAGGGUUCUGCCAAGAUGGUUCUAAAUAUGGGGCCUACCUUGGAGACUCACAAAUUUUGAAAAAAUCAGUAAAUGAGUUCUGCCUUGAUGGUUUAAAUAACUACCUUGGAGACUCAGGAAAAGGGUUCUGCCAAGAUGGUUCUAAAUAUGGGGCCUACCUUGGAGACUCACAAAUUUUGAAAAAAUCAGUAAAUGAGUUCUGCCUUGAUGGUUUAAAUAACUACCUUGGAGACUCAGGAAAAGGGUUCUGCCAAGAUGGUUCUAAAUAUGGGGCCUACCUUGGAGACUCACAAAUUUUGAAAAAAUCAGUAAAUGAGUUCUGCCUUGAUGGUUUAAAUAACUACCUUGGAGACUCAGGAAAAGGGUUCUGCCAAGAUGGUUCUAAAUAUGGGGCCUACCUUGGAGACUCACAAAUUUUGAAAAAAUCAGUAAAUGAGUUCUGCCUUGAUGGUUUAAAUAACUACCUUGGAGACUCAGGAAAAGGGUUCUGCCAAGAUGGUUCUAAAUAUGGGGCCUACCUUGGAGACUCACAAAUUUUGAAAAAAUCAGUAAAUGAGUUAUCCUUAAGAGACUUUGUAAGUUGGUUUUACUUUGAAUACUUGAAAUGUGGGUUCUGGAUUGAUAACUCACAAUGAUAUAUAUAAGAGACACCUCCUGAGCCUCAGAUUAUUUUUUGCAUAAGCCACGCCCACUUUUUCAUAAUCCACGCUCACUUUUCCUAAGCCCUGCCCACUUUUCACGAGAUGUUUUAAACCACGCCCACUUUCCUAAGCCCCGCCCACUUUUCGUGAGGUGUUUUUUAAACCACGCCCACUUUUACUAAGGUCCACCCACUUUUACUAAGCCCCACCUACUCUUACAUCAUUUCCAGUUCAUCUCUGAUUCAAAGAAAUCACGAGAAAAUUCUAGAAUGUUAUUGUUCUGAAAAAAUUUCCAAGGCUUGUCUGGGCUGUUCGGCAAUUUUUUUCAAGCAAUCCUCCAUUUUGAAAAAAAAUUUCUCCAUUCUGACAAGGCUUGCCUGGGCUUGCCCAGGGAAUUUUCAAAGAAUCCUCCAUUUUGAAAAAAAAAAUUCUCCAUUCUCACAAGGCUUGCCGGAGCUUGCCUGGGGUUGCUUCGGGAAACCAUGCCCAACAGUCUUUCCCUAUAAAAGCCUCAAGCCCAGGCUCCAUUUUAAACAUAUUUUUUGCUGGCAAUGGAAUGCUGUGUGCUUGCUUGGAGCUCUACUACUUGUAUGGAACUGGGGGGG